GUGGGUCCAUUCUCUAAUUCACUUUUCAUUUUACCAAAAAAUAAAUUGUAUAACAAAUAUCAAACUAACCAGGUAAUGACACUUCUAUGGUAACCAAAAGAUACAUUGUAAAGGGAAUUCAAAAUAUCUCCCACAGCCAAUUCCAAAUGCUUGUUUUGCAUUUAGCUGCAAUUAAUAUUUUUUGAAUUAUUGGGCUUUAAAAAAGACUGAACUUUUCCCUAUUGAUCUUUUAAUAUAAAAAAGAUAAGCUUAUUUUACUCAUAUAUAUCUUAUUUAAUUUAUAAACAUUUGAUAUAAAGUCAUCACACGAUAAACAAAUGCCACUAGUUUCAUCUUCUUUACAUUGCAUAAAGAGAGCUACCUGUAGGUUAUCCUUUUAAAUGCAGUCUUCACAAUAAACUUUCAAAUCUACAUACCCGAAAUUUUAAUUGAUGAAAAUUUUAGAUGGACUCUGUUGGCCUGUACGGAUGAUUUUUACAGGCCCAACAUUAAUUUUACUAGCCUGGACUGCGUGGCCUGUGGUUCAGCGUGAAGACUGC
rnacentral:lncRNA from 1 species